rnacentral:rRNA from 1 species
AGGGCGCAGGGCGAAUGCCUUGGCACUGGGAGCCGAUGAAAGACGUGAUAAGCUGCGAUAAGCUUCGGGGAGCUGCAAAUAAGCAUUGAUCCGGAGAUUUCUGAAUGAGGAAACUCACUUGAGUUCAUACUCAAGUACGCUGCACUGAAAUUUAAAAUAGGUGCAUCGGGGGAACCGCCUGAACUGAAACAUCUAAGUAGGGCGAGGAAGAGACAUCAAACGAGAUUCCGUAAGUAGUGGCGAGCGAACGCGGAAGAGGGCAAACCGGGAGUAGAAAUACUUCCGGGGUACGGACUGCUUUUAGGACUUAAUCUGUUAACCGAACGGCAUGGGAAGGCCGGUCAGAGAGUGUGAGAACCACGUAGGUGAAAACGGAGAGAGCUGCGCAGAUUCCAGAGUACGGCCAGACACGUGAAACCUGGUCGGAAGAUGGGGGGACCACCCUCCAACCCUAAAUACUACCCAGUGACCGAUAGCGUAUAGUACUGUGAAGGAAAGGUGAAAAGCACCCCGGGAGGGGAGUGAAAUAGAACCUGAAACCCUGUGCCUACAAGCACCUAGAGCGCGUCAAUGCGUGAUAGGGUACUUUUUGUAGAACGGUCCGGCGAGCGAUUGUAUGCAGCAAGGUUAAGGACUUAAGGUCUGGAGCCGAAGCGAAAGCGAGUUUGAAAAGGGCGUUAAGUUGCAUAUAAUGGGCCCGAAACCGGGUGACCUACCCAUGGUCAGGUUGAAGUGGAAGUAAAAUUCCAUGGAGGACCGAACCGACCUCCGUUGAAAAGGCGGCGGAUGAACUGUGGGUAGCGGAGAAAUUCCAAUCGAACCCGGAGAUAGCUGGUUCUCCCCGAAAUAGUUUUAGGACUAGCCUCAAGUUAGAUACCUGGAGGUAAAGCACUGAAUAGCCUAGCGGCCGAGAGGUUAGCGAAGCUUAUCAAACUCAGAAUGCCAGAGUAUUGAUGCUUGGGAGUCAGACAGUGUCAGAUAAAUGUCAUUGUCAAAAGGGAAACAGCCCAGAUCUACAGCUAAGGUCCCAAAGUCAGGUUAAGUGGAAAACGAUGUGAAGAUACGCAGACAACCAGGAUGUUGGCUCAGAAGCAGCCACUCAUUCAAAGAGUGCGUAAUAGCUCACUGGUCGAGCGUCUUUGCGCGGAGAAUUUAACGGGGCUAAACCUGACACCGAAGCUUAGGCAAUCCAGUAAUGGAUUGGGUAGGGGAGCGUUGUAUACGCGGAGAAACAGUAGCGUAAGCGGCUGUGGAGUGUAUAGAAGUGAGAAUGCCGGAAUGAGUAGCGCGAAUGCAGUGAGAAUCUGCAUGGCCGAAAGCCUCAGGUUUUUGGAGGAAGGUUCGUCCGCUCCAAGUUAGUCGGGAGCUAAGGUGAGGCCGGAAGGCGUAGCCGAUGCACAGACGGUAGAGAUUCCGUCACCACCAAAAGAGUUAAGCACAGGGACACAUUUGAAGUCUCAGAGCCGGGUGUUGGUUCCGGUAGAGAUCGAGGGAAGUUAGUACCGAAGUCUGGGAUGGAAGAUGGCGAGAAAAGCUGUGUGUAUUUCUGAGGUGCCCGUACCGCAAACCGACACAGGUAGGUAGGAAGAAGAUUCUAAGGCCAACGGGAGAAGGGUUGUUAAGGAACUCGGCAAAUUGACCCCGUAACUUCGGGAGAAGGGGUGCUCCAGAGAUGGAGCCGCAGAGAAUCGGCCCAAGCAACUGUUUACCAAAAACACAGGUUUGUGCUAAAUCGAAAGAUGACGUAUACGAGCUGACGCCUGCCCGGUGCUGGAAGGUUAAGAGGAGAUGUGCAAGCAUUGAAUCGAAGCCCCAGUGAACGGCGGCCGUAACUAUAACGGUCCUAAGGUAGCGAAAUUCCUUGUCAGGUAAGUUCUGACCCGCAUGAAAGGCGUAAUGAUUUGGGCACUGUCUCAACAGCCCGCCCGGCGAAAUUGUAGUACCGGUGAAGAUGCCGGUUACCCGCGACAAGACGGAAAGACCCCAUGGAGCUUUACUGUAGCCUAAUAUUGGGUUUCGAUGUUGCAUGCACAGGAUAGAUGGGACACUGGGAAACAGGAGCUUUGGCUUCUGCGGAGUGGCCGUUGGGAUACCAUCCUUGCGAUAUUGGAAUUCUAACCUGCGGCUCUGAAUCGAGUCGGGGGACAUUGUUAGGUGGGCAGUUUGACUGGGGCGGUCGCCUCCUAAAAAGCUGUCUCUUAUACACAUCUGACGCUGCCGACGAUCGCAUAAGU